GGUGAACGCUGGCGGCGUGCUUAAGACAUGCAAGUCGAACGGGCUCUUCGGAGCCAGUGGCGCACGGGUGAGUAACGCGUAACUGACCUACCCCAAAGUCGCGGAUAACGAUUCGAAAGAAUCGCUAAUACGUGAUGUGCUGUCAGAUCCUGUUCUGCCAGUAAAGAUUUAUUGCUUUGGGAUGGGGUUGCGUUCCAUCAGCUAGUUGGUGGGGUAAAGGCCCACUAAGGCGACGACGGAUCGCCGGCCUGAGAGGGUGGCCGGCCACAGGGGCACUGAGACACGGGUCCCACUCCUACGGGAGGCAGCAGUUAGGAAUCUUCCACAAUGGGCGAAAGCCUGAUGGAGCGACGCCGCGUGAGGGAUGAAGGUCUUCGGAUCGUAAACCUCUGAAUCAGGGACGAAAGACGCGAAAGCGGGAUGACGGUACCUGAGUAAGAGCACCGGCUAACUCCGUG
rnacentral:rRNA from 1 species